CCGAGAAUAUUCGACAAUGGGCGAAAGCCUGAUCGAGCGAUACCGCGUGGUGGAUGAAGCGAUUCGUCGCGUAAACAUCUUUUAUGAGGGAGGAAGUUAUUGACGUUACCUCAUGAAUAAGGGGCUCCUAACUCUGUGCCAGCAGGAGCGGUAAUACAGAGGCCCCAAGCGUUACCCGGAAUUACUGGGCGUAAAGAGUGCGUAGGUGGUCAUGUUAGUCGUCUGUUAAAUCCUGGGGCUCAACCCUAGAAUCGCAGGCGAAACGGCACGACUAGAGGGCGUGAGAGGUGAAUGGAACUCAUGGUGUAGGGGUGAAAUCCGUUGAUAUCAUGGGGAACACCGAAAGCGAAGGCAAUUCACUGGCGCGUUCCUGACACUCAAGCACGAAAGCGUGGGUAGCGAACGGGAUUAGAUACCCCCGUAGUCC
rnacentral:rRNA from 1 species